rnacentral:tRNA from 1 species
GCAGUGGUGGUUCAGUGAUAGAAUUCUCGCCUUCCAUGCAGGAGACCCGGUUUGAUUCUGGUCAGUGCA